rnacentral:tRNA from 3 species
GCGAGAGUGGUGGAACGGCAGACACGCUAGACUCAGGAUCUAGUGGGCAUUACGCCUGUGGGGGUUCAAAUCCCCCCUCUCGCACCA